AUGUAUUCGUACUGUCUGAUG
rnacentral:miRNA from 1 species